CUCAAAACAAAGCAUGAAAACCCCAUAAAUUCCAUAAUGGGGACUCCACCCUCAGUACCUUAUCUAUACCUAUUCAUAAUUACAUCCUAAAGACUGUACCUGCAAAUUCCAUUUGUUUAGAAUGAGAGCUUCAACUUGUGAAUUUGAGGGAGGUACGUACAUUCAGUCAGUAGCACAGAUCAACAAGAAACACAUUUCAUAUUUCUCCAGGCCAGUGAGUAGCCAGACCUGUUGAUAGUGGACAUCCAGAAUCAGAGCCUGAGAGUGAGGCCUUUGAAUGAUGCCCUGGACAGAGCUUGGAACAUAAAGGUGAAUACUGUUGUGGGGAGAAUGCAUCUCUUCGCGUGGCUCUGAGCCAGGGCCAGCUUUGGAUCCUGCUAGCCCCACGGAUACAGAGGAGAAGAUUGAUAAGAGCCUAGAAAGUGGCAGCCUUUGGAGAGAGAAGGAUUCCUAUGUUUGGCAUGCUCUGUACAAUACAAGGUAUUCUCUCCAUUUAGAAGAUGCAGAACUGAGACCCAGAGAGGCCAUGGGCCCUGCACAAGGCUGUGAAGGUAAUCAGCUCUGAGAUUUUCCUGCUGAACCACAGAACAAGUGUUUUUAACUCUAUGCCCCCACUCUAGGCUAAAGAAAGCCCACAAUCAGCUUUACCCACCCCAGUGGGUUAUUCCAGUUCAGGGCCAUCACACAGCUCAGGCUGCUUUUGAAUCUAUGCUCUGCUUCUUAUUAGCUGUGUGACUUUAGACAGAUUAUGUAGCCUCUCUGAGCAUCUCUUUUCUCAACUGUAAAAUGGGAGAUAAUAGACAAUACCAACUCCAGAGCGUGAGGAUAAAGAUGAAACAAGGCACAGCGCCUGGCUAAGAGUAACUAACUGCUUCAUCACUGCUUACUUUCACUGUCAUUGCAAAUAAGAAGGCAUGGCAUUCAAUAAAUUAUAAAGUUGCUGUACUGAUGAAGGAGGGAGGAGGGGUGUUAGAAUAAAGGCCUUUCGACCUCUCCUGAGCCUGUGAUUCUCAGAUUCGGUUAUUAUACUUGUAUGUGACAUUUUUCACACGCCUACUCUGGGAAGCUAAACCAGGCAC
rnacentral:lncRNA from 10 species